GAAGGUAUAGCUCAGUGGUAGAGAGUCUGCUUAGCAUGCACAAGGUCUUGGGUUCAAUCCCCAGUGCCUCCA
rnacentral:tRNA from 1 species